rnacentral:rRNA from 1 species
UGCCAGACUCCUACGGGAGGCAGCAGUGGGGAAUAUUGCACAAUGGGGGAAACCCUGAUGCAGCGACGCCGCGUAAGUGAAGAAGUAUUUCGGUAUGUAAAGCUCUAUCAGCAGGGAAGAAAAUGACGGUACCUGACUAAGAAGCCCCGGCUAACUACGUGCCAGCAGCCGCGGUAAUACGUAGGGGGCAAGCGUUAUCCGGAUUUACUGGGUGUAAAGGGAGCGUAGACGGCAUGGCAAGUCAGAUGUGAAAGCCCGGGGCUCAACCCCGGGACUGCAUUUGAAACUGUCAGGCUGGAGUGCAGGAGAGGUAAGUGGAAUUCCUAGUGUAGCGGUGAAAUGCGUAGAUAUUAGGAGGAACACCAGUGGCGAAGGCGGCUUACUGGACUGUAACUGACGUUGAGGCUCGAAAGCGUGGGGAGCAAACAGGAUUAGAUACCCUCGUAA